AUGGCAUGGUUCAGUGUUGGGUAUCCUGCACAAACACCAAUCCAAGCAAGCACUUCUACAAGUGCUAGCACGAGUGGGCACGUACCAGGCAUCUUUGCUAACCUGUUUACAUUUGUUGUGUUUCUUGCUAUCAAUUUCAAGUUUCAUUUUUCUGUUCUAGUCUCGCGAGUGCAACUUCUGGAAAUGGGAGGAGAACUACAUGAACGUCAUUCGCGCCAAAUGGCCCAGGGAGUUCACAAUCCCUUCUCGUCAAGACAGGAAGUUCCACCGCAUCAUCAUCGCCCUUCCGGCACUGAAUCUUCUCGCCGUGCUGUUCGUAUGCUGCAAGGUUGCCUGAACCACGUCUUUUGCUAA
rnacentral:rRNA from 1 species